GGUUGACCUCGGAUCAGGGUA
rnacentral:rRNA from 1 species